AUACUUCCUUGGCAGGGGAGAUACCAUGAUCAUGAAGGUGGUUUUCGCAGAGCGAGGGUUAUCCAUUGCACUUUGGAUGUGCUGACCCCUGUGAUUUCCCCAAUGUGGGAAACUCGACUGCAUAAUUUGUGGUAGUGGGGGACUGCGUUUACGCUUUCCCCUG
rnacentral:snRNA from 1 species